rnacentral:rRNA from 1 species
AUGAACGCUGGCGGCGUGCCUAAUACAUGCAAGUCGAGCGAACAGACGAGGAGCUUGCUCCUCUGACGUUAGCGGCGGACGGGUGAGUAACACGUGGAUAACCUACCUAUAAGACUGGGAUAACUUCGGGAAACCGGAGCUAAUACCGGAUAAUAUAUUGAACCGCAUGGUUCAAUAGUGAAAGACGGUUUUGCUGUCACUUAUAGAUGGAUCCGCGCCGCAUUAGCUAGUUGGUAAGGUAACGGCUUACCAAGGCGACGAUGCGUAGCCGACCUGAGAGGGUGAUCGGCCACACUGGAACUGAGACACGGUCCAGACUCCUACGGGAGGCAGCAGUAGGGAAUCUUCCGCAAUGGGCGAAGGCCUGACGGAGCAACGCCGCGUGAGUGAUGAAGGUCUUCGGAUCGUAAAACUCUGUUAUUAGGUAAGAACAAAUGUGUAAGUAACUAUGCACGUCUUGACGGUACCUAAUCAGAAAGCCACGGCUAACUACGUG